GGGGAACAACAGCUGGAAACGGCUGCUAAUACCCCAUAGGCUGAGGAGCAAAAGGAGGAAUCCGCCCAAGGAGGGGCUCGCGUCUGAUUAGUUAGUUGGUGAGGCAAUGGCUUACCAAGGCGACGAUAAGUAGCUGGUCCGAGAGGAUGAUCAGCCACGCUGGGACUGAGACACGGCCCAGACUCCUACGGGAGGCAGCAGUGGGGAAUUUUCCGCAAUGGGCGAAAGCCUGACGGAGCAAUGCCGCGUGAAGGCAGAAGGCCCACGGAUCAUGAACUUCUUUUCUCGG
rnacentral:rRNA from 1 species